AACACUAGGUCUCCUGGCUGGAACGAAUGGCAGGACUUUGGUCAGGAAUUGGAUUGGGAUGGGCUCCUGGAACAAGUGGCAGGAUAAUAUCUUGUACCUGUUGGAGAGACUAUAGGUACUGUAAUAAAUUAGUUUGUGAUAUUUCUGCUAAUUUGGCAUCUCUUAGCUUAGGCAAGAUAGGCGGUGCCCUAUUAUACAUAAUUUCAAAAGGUGAGAAAUUAGCCUGGUAAGAGGUGCACCUUAAUUUAAGUAGGGCUAAAGGAAGGAGACUUACUUAAUUUACACUGUUUUUUUAAGAUUAAUUUUAUAAGAGUGUUUUUUAGGGUGUGGUUCAUGCGUUCUACUUGCCUGGAGCUCUGGGGUUGAUAGGCACAAUGGAGCUUCUGUUGAAUGUUUAACGCCUUACUGACUGACUGAGCUAUAGGCGAGGUGAAGGCUGCUCUAUUAUCAGACUUUAUGGCAGCAGGCAGCCUAUAUUGAGGGAUGAUUUCAUUGAGUAAAAACUUAACUACUAUGUUGGUGGUUUCGUUUUCGGUAGCAAAUGCCUUAGUCUAUCUGGAGAAGGUGUCUACUAGUACUAGAAGGUAUUUGUACUUAGCCUGGUGUGGUUUGACUUCUGUAAAGUCAAUUUCUUACUUUUUUCUUGGCGACUUUUUCCAGAGACAGUGGCCUGGGCUGGGUUUAGGACUUUGUUUGGCAUUUACUUGGGCUCAGGUUGUGCACUGGAGAGCUGCUUAAUCUUUAGGCUUUGAAGACUGGGGAUCUUAAAAUGGCUCUGGAGGAGCUGAGGUAGCUUUGCUCUUCUUAAAUGGGUGAUAGACUGUACGUAACUGGUUAAAGUUUGUUUAAGAGUUCAGGGUAUGAAGAUUCUAGAGUCAGGAAGAAUCUACUAACUUUCCUGAUUUUUAUUGGCUCUGAGAUCCGAAGCCAGUUGUUGUUGUUGUUGAGUAUACGGGAUUGUCAGGCAGAUCUGGCUGUGGAAAGGAGACUGUGGGCAGCAAGUUUAGAGGCGUGACUGAAAGUCUUGCUGCGACCUGAGCUGCUGAAUCAGCUUUCUGGUUACUAUGGGCCACGGCCGUGUUUUCUUUUUGAUGUCCUUUGCGGUGGAUCACAGCUACCUGCUGAGAAACUCCUGGAGGGCAGAGGCAUGCCUGCCAUCUUCAUCAUUGCAUUACCACCACCCAACACUAUCGGGGGACCUGCCCUGAUAAUCAGUCUACAGGUGUAUCCAGCAGCUCCAGAGAGACAGCGACCAGCGAGAAGGGGCCAUGAUGAUGGUGGUGGUUUUGUCAAAACGAAAAGGGGGAUAUGUAGGGAAAAGAAAGAGAGAUCAGACUGUUACUGUGUCUACAUAGAAAGGGAAGCCAUAAGAGACUCCAUUUUGAAA
rnacentral:lncRNA from 1 species